rnacentral:lncRNA from 1 species
AUGUUUCUGACGAGAGCCGAGACUUUGAGAGAGAGUCUUUAAACAUUGUUUGUAUAUGUUUCUGGUUGUACUCAUCCCUAAUCAAUAGAUAUUGAAUCUUUUGGUUACGCGUGUGUUUUACACUUUGUUUGGUUUGCACCGUCACAGGGAUUUCGCACCCGUUACCGUGUUUGUGAUAAACAAGGAUAGGUUUACGUUAUCGAUCCACCGGAAAAACGGGACCUACAAUUGGUAUUAGAGCAUUGGCUCGAUUCCUUAUUUAAACCAAGUUGAUUUUCUUGUGUUUUUCUUGAUUUUGAGCUUUGAAAAAUCAUACAUUUUCUGGAAAAACCUUGUUAAAACCUUGAAAAUAUUUAUUGUUUUGCUUAUAGUUCAUAUAAAACCUUGUUAUAACUCUUGUAUACAUGUUAGUUUUGGGUUUAUAUUGAACUUUAUUUGCAAAAGUGUGUUUGAAAAAUUUCUGGUAAUUUGAAUCUUCAUCCAGUUCAUCAAAUCCUCAAACUGUUCUUGAAUAAAUAUUGAGUUUGAUCUUUAUUUGUUUCUGAAUGAUUGUGUUUGUGUUUGUUGUUUUGAUUAUUAAAACAAUUGUUUGACAUUUGUGUACAAAUCAUGAUGGAAGGUUGAAAAUAAGAAGCUUCGUAAAUCACAAAAGCAAGGUGUAGUUUGAAAAAGAAGUCUUGUUGUCAGAGGAGAGGAUAAGGUUUUGAGAAAAUAUCUUCUUGUCUAGUUGUCCAGUCAACGAAAAUACUUAGUCAACAAAAUCCUGCCACGAAAUCACCACAAGUUGCUGGACGAAAUCAGCUCUCUCUAGCCGAAAUCACUUCAAAGCUCUCUCCAGCCGAAAUCACUUCAAGUCUCUCACCAGCCGAAAUCACUUCAAGUCAACAAUAUCAAGCUUCUGGAAGAAAUAACCUCACUUGGCCGAAAUCACUUAUCUUCAUUAUAACUUCGCCAAAUUUCAAGUCUGUGUCCCACACAUCAGUCUUCGUCAUUAAAUAAAAGAAGUUUAGGCUACACGGUAUGGGGAUAGGUCCUGGCCCGUCGCGGGUCGGCGACGGUCCAAACACCGUGCCGCCCCCUACCGUCUCCGUCCUCUCCGUCCAAAGGUAGACGUUGGCGACGAUGCAAUUUUUGUGGGCCCCCCCUGAAUAUGACCGUUAUAAUUAAAAAAAA